GUUGGAAGCCAGUUGUGGGGAUCAUUCGCAUGAUGCACCGGAGAAAUCUGGUCCUGCCUGGGACCUGGGCAGGGGCUGGAGCCACCCCAAAACCUCCAGAGGACUCCUCUGCCUAAAACAAGGCUCAGUUGGGACCAGGAGACCCGGAAGGAGGGGAAGCCUGGUGAGAGAGCAGGGAACUGAACUGAGAUGACUUAAUCCACCUUCUCAUUCAAGGAUGAGGGGGAGGAAAGGGAGGACGCAAAGUAAGAAAGAUAAGUUCCCACCCGCCCCUAGGGGAUUCCCAGACCCCAGCCCCUCCCCACGUUCUGAAGACCCGUCUCCGUCUCUGAGUUGGUUCUGUUGGGUGGCCCUGGAUUCCA